rnacentral:snRNA from 1 species
UCCUGCGGCCGCUCCGCCAAUCU